rnacentral:rRNA from 1 species
GUGAGGAAUAUUGGACAAUGGCCGGAAGGCUGAUCCAGCCAUGCCGCGUGCGGGAAGACGGCCCUAUGGGUUGUAAACCGCUUUUGCGGGGGAGCAAUAAGUUGUACGUGUACAACGAUGAGAGUACCCUGCGAAUAAGCAUCGGCUAACUCCGUGCCAGCAGCCGCGGUAAUACGGAGGAUGCAAGCGUUAUCCGGAUUUAUUGGGUUUAAAGGGUGCGCAGGCGGCUUGUUAAGCGGGAGGUGAAAUGCCGGCGCUCAACGUCGGAAGUGCCUCCCGAACUGGUGAGCUUGAAUGACUCUGCCGUGGGAGGAAUGUGUAGUGUAGCGGUGAAAUGCUUAGAGAUUACACAGAACACCGAUUGCGAAGGCAUCUCACGAAGGGUUGAUUGACGCUGAGGCACGAAAGCGUGGGGAUCAAACAGG